rnacentral:lncRNA from 1 species
AGAACCUAAAGAAAUGGUGUUACCUGGCAAGAGAUCUGCUAUCCUUUAUGAAAAAUCCAGCCAAGGUGACAAGUUACUCUUACUUCCAGUAUUCUCUCUACCAGUGAGAUGGCAUGAAGAAAUAGGUGUGAGGCUGAGUAAUUUGUCACAAAUUGUACCUGAUGCCAGAGCUUGACAUUUCUGUUUUAAUGCUUUAUGAUUCAUUUAUGUUGUGAUUGCAUGACUAUUUGUGCUUUGGGCUUGUUUCAUGCUGUUUUUGCAGAAGCAUUUUUGGAGCAACAGCUUAUCAGAAGGUGGUGUGGUAUUAAUUUUUCAGCACCCACAUCUGUGCACUGUUUACUUAGUAAUGUCUAAACUUUCCUGGAUCAGUGCUCUGUUGUUACAAGCGACUCAGAAUAUUUUGAUAGAUGCCAAGGAGCAUUAUGGGUGUUUGCUCACCAGUUGACAAACAACCUAGAAAUAUGAAAAAAAAAUGCUGUUUUCAUGAAUUGUGACACAUAGAAUUGUUUAGUCCCUAAAAGAGCAGGUAAAAGUAUCUUAAAUUUUUUUUCCAGAAAGUAAUAAGAAAAUUGUGAUAUCAGCCAAUAUUCAGUAGAUACUAGUAAUGUUUUUUUAAAUAAUGCAGUUAUUAUCUGGUCAUGUCAGGUUCACAUUACCAGAAAUAUUCAGACUAAUCUGUUGGAUUUUAGUCAUCAGUUGGAUCUCACUCUUAGGUGAUUGACUAUGAGUUUUUAAAUGAUUAGGAGAAAGGUAAAGUUGUUCCCCUUUCUCUUUUUUCGAAAAAUUCUUUCAAUGCAUUUUUAAAAACACCUUUAAAAAUGCCUUAGCAAAAGUUAGAAAAGACUUCCUCUUUUGUUGUUGUUGCACCUGUGGCAUGCAGAAAUUCCUGGGCUAGGGAUCAAAUUUGAGUCACAGUAGUGACAAUGCUGAAUCUUUACCCACUAGGCUACCAGGGAACUCCUAAAAUUUCCUUUCCUGAAACCAGUUUUAUCAAGGAAAAUACUAAUGUAUAUGUUAUACCCUUAUCACUUUUAAGAUUUUUAAAAAUUGUUUUAGUGGGUGCAGUGAGCAGACUAACUCAACUAGUACAUAGGCUAAAGCAAUACUUUCUUUCAUAUCAAAGUUGUUAUAUUUGAGAAUUAUUGUUUUGCUUUCAUAAGAUUAUCAGUAGGUUUUGUAUUUUCUGUAUCUCUGUUUAGAACUGUUCUUGAAAAAAGAGUUAACCGGAGUUCCCAUUGUGGCUCAGUGGUUAGUGAAUCUGACUAGGAACCAUGAGUUUGCGGGUUUGAUCCCUGGCCUCACUCAGUGGAUUAAGGAUCUGGCAUUGCUGUGGCUCUGGCAUAAGCAGGCAGUGCAGCUCCCAUUAGACCCCUAGCCUGGGAAUCUCCAUAUGCUGCAGGUGCGGCCCUAAAAAGACAAAAAGACAAAAAAAAAAAAAAAAAA